AUCAACAAUCUCAAGCUCAUCACCUUGAACUAGCUGAACUGAAAUAUCAUCCUGUGUUGGACAAAUUGAAUGUCUAACUUCAAGCUUUACCUGCUCAUCAACAUCAUGAUCUUUAUUUAUAGCAACUGACUCCUUUUUUGAAUCAAGCAUAAUCUUUUUAUUAUAAGUAACAUCUCUAUUGACUAUGAAUUUUUGAGAAUCAGGCUCAACACACCACAAUCUAUAAUCUUUUAUCCGAUUAAUAAC
rnacentral:lncRNA from 1 species